UCUUCCAGAUACAUGAACAAACAUUUCCCACUGCAGCGAAAAGGAAGUGAAAAUCAAAAUCUAGAUAGCUGCUCUGAAAACCUAAGCAUUCCUAUUGAAACAUGAUCCCACAGCUAGUGAGGCUGAAGUAGAAAACAUCAUUGUGUGUGCUUCACAAUUCCCCUUUAUAAGGGAAACUGAACAGUUUCUUAUGCCUUGAGACAGGGAAGAAAAGUGCUUAGUAGCUUUUUGAGGCCCCCUACAUAUUACUGGUCCACAACUUAACCACAGCAAUGCCAGUGGAGUCACAAAAGGGACGAAAUCAGCCAUCCCUGCUAUGGGAAUAGGUGUGUGCAAGACAGAUUUCUCUGUUUUCUCUCCCCACAACAUCUUGUCUUCUUAAAACCUGUUCCUUGCUUAUGUCUGCUGGGAGGAUGACUCCAUAAAGAAAUCUGGGCAACUGCCCAAGGCAAUCUGUAAGAAAAUUUUAUGUGAAAGAAUCUCUUUCUUUUCCUCAGCUUCUGCCUCCCUGGCAUCAAGCCUCAAGCCAAGGAGGCUGCCCACUGCCAUUGAGGAGCUCUGCAAACCAAGCAAUGCACUGCUGCUUCCUCAGUAGGCAAACAGAGAUGGCAUACUCCCACUAUAACAGCAAAGCUCUUGACAAUCACAGGAAUUACUCAAUUUAGGCCUUCAGAAUAAGGCUGAAUCCUGCAAGACUAAUGUAUCUGGGGAAGAGCCGAGAGCUGCUGGGAACCUCUGAAGGCAGCAGGAUAUGAUGCCUUGCAGAACAGGCACUGAACUGCUUGCUGUCCUGCCUCCCUGCCCUAGUUCUAGCAUGAUUCAGAGGCUGAAAAUACAGACUGACUUUGCUUUGGAACCUCUGAAUUGCUCAAGCCCGGUAGUUGCUUUGGUGCUGAAGCAGUACAUUACUUUGUUAUUCGCAGGAAAUAUCUUUGCUCCAGGUAUAAUCCUGUGUUUCCUGGGACACUCAAAGCAGUACAUCUUCCCUCCUUCAAACCCUGAGCAGGAAUAUACAGUAAUCUCAGAUUGUACUGGUGAGGUUAAUUAAUGAACUGGAGAUCUCUGCUGCCCUGUCCUAAACAAAGAACCAAAAUGAGAUGCUUAGCAUACUAGUUAAUGUUCUUUAUAUUAAGAAAGUAAAUCCAGUGGCGGCCAAGCAGACUGAUAGCAAGAUCAAACAUUAAUUCUAGCCACAGCCAAGAGCUCUUUUAGGUGUUUAGGUGGCAAUGACCUGUCCUCUGAACAAAUAACAUGGUCACAAAUAACUCUUCCCAGGGAUACUGAGCACUGGGUGGGUAUGGUUGAAAGCUGGCUUCACCACUUGCUAUCUGGGAAAGUCCUUCCUGAGGAUGGAUACAGGCCAGGAGUAUAGAUAACAGCAAAGCCUCUACCUGAAAACCUGAAGAAAAAAAAAAAACAGUGCAGAGAAGCUUGUAUCCAAAUACUGUGGAUGAGACUGAUGCUCCAAAGGGUGUUACUGGAUUUGCAGGUCAUUCGAUAGUAAAAAUCAUAGUAGGAAAGUUGGCAUGUUGGCAAAGCCAUUAAACCCUGCAGUUUAUUGAACAGAUGGCAGAGAAGCCCGAGAGGCUGAUACAGGAAAUACCUAUUUAGCAGAGCUGAGUUAGCUGGGCAUAAACAGGAGUGGGAGACCACUGGCUUUUCUAGGAAACAUCUUUUCCUCCUCCCUCUGCAUGUUACUUUUAGCUAAGAUGGGUUGCCUGAAGGCACAUUCUGCUUAACAUGCCAGCACAUUUCUUGCUUGUUUACUAUUUUAAGAGUAUCAGUGAUUUCCUAGAUUACUUGUACCACAUUGGGAAAUCCUGGCUGUCAGUGGGCCAGCUCCCAGAGCAAGGGAUGUCAGAUGAGGAAAGAGCCCAAGCAGAGCCAAUGGGAACAAAGAGAGGGGCCCAAAUGGAAAGCAGUGGCUGGAAAAGCCAAUGGAAAGUGGAAAGCCAGUCCAUGCUCCCUCUCUCCCCAUGUGAGAUCUGAGGCUCUGGCGUUGGCUAUUUAGUUGCAGAUGCACAAAGCCACAUUGCUUCUCAGUUCACUGAGAAACCAUAAAUUGAGAAGUGCCCCUCUUAUGUCAAAGGCAUGCCCUAGGUGGCAAAGGCAGUGGUAGAAAUGCCCACCUGAGGGGCUGUCAGGGAGAAGAUAUAUAGGAAAAAGACACACAGGAAAUACAGAGGUCUGUAUUUCCAGAAGACAAAUCUCAGUGGCUGUGCUGAAAAACACUAGUGCAGACUUUAAGGCAGCAAAAUGACAUAGCUGCCAGUGUUCUGCACUAGCAUAAAUCCCCACGAGUUCUGAGCUGUAGAUUAGGAAAGGGCUCCAGGGGACUUAGGCUGUCUGUGAGAGCCUUUCACUCUGCAAAUGUAAUUGCUUCAAAUAUAAGUCAUCCCCUCCCUCCCCACUCAGCUACAUGGCCAUGAGAAACCUUGGAGGAAACUCCCAAAUAUUUCACUGAUAAAUUCACUUGGUAAUGAAGGUGGUUAGAUGUCUAUGUACCCUAUAUCCUAAGGAAAAAAGAAAAGCAUUUCUUUCUUUUAUAUCAGAAGGUGCUUUGGUUCUUAGGGAAUGUGAUUUUGUUUGAAAGGGACGUUCGCACUACUGGUUAUCCAUCUGGAAUGAAGGAAAUGAGAGACCUCAGCCUCCUUCUCCUGAAAAUUCAUUCUGAAAGGCACAGUGACAGAGUUAAACCAGUAGGAUGCUGGUGACCCAAGUGAGCAAUGAGAUGACUGAUCUCUCAGAAGGGGCUGUGCAUGACUGGGUGGAACCACUGGGAGGUUUAGCAAGGUCUGGGGGCUGAUUCCAGUGAACCAGACAUGGAGAGGAAAACACAAAGCAUGGCAACUUGAGGUGAAGACUGAGGCUGCGCCGAGGGAGCAAGAAGUGAGAGGAAAGGAGUGAGAGGGGAACUAUUCCCUUCAGAGAUAAGACACUGGGGGACACGCUGAGCAGAAAGCUCAGAUGAGGAAGAACAGAAGCCCCUUUGUAAGAUGGAGACUGCAGUGUAAGAGGAAUCCUCUUCCUUGCUCACCUUAGCUUUGUUGUCCAUGGUAACAGCCAGCUGCAUCCUCUUGCCCAUUCUGAAUGUGAACAUAUGAUCUGCUUCCUCCUCCUCCUCCUCUUCCUCACUGCCAAUGCCAAAUCCAGUGCUCACAGGGCAGGGGCUCUUUUUCUCACUCACAACCCUUUUGUCCUGGAAAAUGAAGCACUUCUGUUAGUAAAUCCAAGCCCCUCAGCUCACCAGUGCACUCCCCUUCCCCAAACACACCUGCACACAAGCAGGGCAGACCAGUUAUGGAAUGGUAGGCCUCGCCCUGGGAAAGCUUUCUGUGCAUGGCACUGUGCUGUGACAUUCCUGCAGAACAAGGGGCUCAUUGUCUGCUCAGCAGCAAAACCCACAAUUACAGUGGGUAUGGAAAAUCCUUUGCACUUACAAAUCUGACAUUUCAGACUAAAGUGCCAGAGUUUUAUCUCUUUCUGCAGCACUCUGAGUUAGAUCAGAAAAGUCUAAGUCCUGAUGGAGAUUGCCUGGGAAGCCAAGAGGAUGGCUCCUGAGGGUCAGUGCUCACCAUCGAGAGGGCUUGGCUAUCUUGUCCAUAGUGUUCAGUCUGGGUAAUUGCAUCUUUCAGGUCCUGUAUGAGAGAAAAAUGUGUGCAACAGAGCACCUCCAGAGAAAAGCAAGGGCCAGGGCAUGGUAAAGUAAGCAAGGCAGUAGCCUGGAUCUAACAACCCAAGAGUGCUGAUGGUGCAGAAGGAGGGUGGGCCAGCUCAGUCUGGCUUUGGGCUUCCCCAGGGGCUAACACAGGACUCGCCUGGUGAUUUAGCAAGGCCACACACUGCCAGGAGGAGAGGAUAAGGUUUGUCAGAUACAGGUUUAAUGCUGUCAGAAAGGAUGCCUGGGACUUGUAGCAUUUGCUUCAAAGCCCCCAGGUAACUAUAGGCUAUUUGAUUGCAAGUACAAAGCCUAAGAAGGCCGUGAUUUCACCCAGUCUGCAGGUAUCUUCAGCUGUGUUCCUGAUGUCUCCAAUGGCACAUACACAUCUUACACGUUCUGUCUAUAUUUUUGCAACAGCAUUCACACCUGGGACCCAUCCAGGGCUAACUGUUCACUUACUCACUUAUUUGCAUGCUUGCUCAUUCUGAACGCUUGGGUACAGGUGCCUGGGCACGACUGGAAAUGAGUGGAUCAGCAAACAACACUUUGGGCACUUUGAGCUUUUACACCCUUAUAGGAAUGUUUAGGAGCUACAUUCCAUGCCUGAAAGAGUUUUGCACUGGACGCUGUCUCCUUCAGCAACGCCACUUGUGAAGCUCAUGGAGGCAGGACUGAAGCUUGUGGUGGCUUGUGGUGAAGAGGCAUUCACUCACUUACAUUGUGAGCUUUGGUGAUGGUAAUAGUGAGUCCAUCUUGCUUGGGUUUCCUGGAGGUAACAGCCAUUCCCUCCUGCUCAGCUCGUUUUUUGUCCUCUUCUAUUUCCUGAAACAGAUAUAUCCUCAUUAUUGGCCUGUACACAGCUGUCCGCAGGCUUUGUAAAGUUCCUGUUUAGAAUUUUUCCUAAAUGGACACAACUCCAGCUCUGAAAGAAAGUGGACCAACUUGAGACCGAUCAGUGUGCCCUUUGAAUGAGUGACAGGCAGCUGGGACAUGUGAAGAGGCUGGGACGCACCUGGCCUGCAGAAAGGGAAGGCUCUGAACAGGAGCCAGAGUCUCUGUGCCAGACUGGGGUCAUCAUCUCUGGCCAGUGACCUGCUCUGGCAUCUCUGGCUGUGAUCUGCUUACCUAUUAGGCAGCUUCUUCUUGAAGCCAAGUAGUGGUAGGUAGGACGGUAACAUUUAACAUGAGAGUGAGAAUUCCUCUUCCCUGUGUGCCUGUCACAUUCAACUCAUCCCAUAGAUUUCCACUAGAUACCAUUUUUUUUGCUAUGAUAAAAGAAAUGUUCAGAAUGGUUUUUCUGGUAUCAAAGAAAGUAAGUGUUUUAAGCAAGAUCCAGCCAAGAGCACCACUGAACCGUUUGGCUCUUGGUCCAAGACACAAAACAUGUUCUUUGCCAUUCUCAAGACUGCCCAUCCAGCAGCCCCCAAAGCCAAGUGGUGACUGGAAAAGCCAGGAGAAUAUUCCAGGCAAGCCACGGGGAAUCCUUCUUCCAGAAGUACCCUCAGGAUGUCCCAGUCUGCACUGCUGUAUGCAGACACUCAUGGAGAAGGGUAAACAAACCUAAAGAGAGCUCCAAGUUACCACAGUGUCACACUGAACGGUUGCUACAAGCCAGGCUGGAUAUCUUGUGCAGGUCACUCUCUUGGCCAAGGCCAAUCAAUCCAGGACCAGAAAAAUGAGGUGUUUUUCUCUCCUGUGAGCUCCACAGAAACAUUGGGACUGGCCUGGGACAAGCUUCAGCCCAUACCACUGCCCUGGGCUGGGUGAGGACAGCAAGGGAGAGGACAAAGGCUCUCAAAUGUCUCAGGGAUGCAACCUUCUGUUCAUCCAGGAGAAUAAGCAUGAGGCACUGGGAAGGACAGAAGGGGAAGAAGACAGCGUGUGUGAGAUGAAGAGAUGGGAAAGCUGUGAUGCAGAUGGAGGAAGAGAGCAGGGUGAGAAGAAAUGCUGCAGCAGGAAGGGAAGCAUCGGUGAGCCUGGUUUCUAAUCUGAGGAGCUGUAGCAAAGAGCAGAGUUCGGCUGACCUUCCCCAAGCAUUUUCCUAAGUAAUAAUGCUAUCUAACAAAGUCAUCCACUGCUGACUAUCUUCUUCAUGCUGUGAGUUGUGAGGACUCCAAAACAGAGCUGAGGAAGAUAAGAAUCAAGCAGUCUUACCUGGUAUCUUCGUAUAAGCGCUUCAUUCUUCUUCCGCAGAGCCAGGAUUUUCUUAUCAAGUUCAACAUCUUUCUGUUCUUUCUUCCUUAGCACAGCAUCAUCCACAGUGGCAUCCUGAAAACAUGAAGAGCAAAGUUCUUCUUGGUCAUCACGCUGACAGGACACAAGCUGAUCCUUCUGGGGGAGGCUGAAUGGUCUUUUCCUACCAUUUCCCCCUUUAGACCUCCAUCUAUAAGCACACUGCAUCUUCUAAAUUGAAUUAUUCCAGACAGAAUUGACCUUUCCUACUUUUUUUGUUCCUCAAUGAGGUAACUGGAGUGAAAAAGCAAUACCCCACAUCGAUGGCUGCCAGUAACUCGAGUUACCACACCACUUAAUGCAUGAAGUAAAUGACACCUCUGCCUGCUCUAGGUUCAGGUGCUCUCAGGCACACCCAGUGCACUCCAUUUACAUUCAGACAGCACCUUGGUUACCACAGGGGAUCAGAAAUCACAUUUUAGAAUUCUAGUGACAGGAGCAUCUAGUGAAAAUCAAUGCUGAUGGGUAUCAACACACUGCAGCAAGCUGAUCCAUAUCAUCUAGACCCUGCCUGCUGUUUACAUGAAGAGCAAGGUGGAAAGGCUGAGAUCUCCAAGGCACUACAGGUUUAUUCCCAAACAGUGUUUCUGUACUCUCCUUAUCAGAAUGGCAUCUGCAUGCUGCAGAGAUCUCACAUUCCCCCUCCUCUGCUCACAUAGAGCUGAGUAAGACAAAGUUGGCUUGGGGAGGGGAGGAAAGAAAACUCUUGGUUUAUGGGCAAGGCACUGCACACAUCUAUUUUGCUGCUGUUACAGUUCUAGCCAGCAGGCUACCCACAGCCUGCCCCAUGCAGAAAAUCUGCUGUGGGAGCACUGCUUAGCAGAUCGAGCUGCUGAGUGUGAUGCAUAUUGCCCAAAGUGCAGGGAAAGUUUGGAGGACUCGAGAAGCAAAUGGAACAAAACCAUCAUCCAUCACACUACAACUAGAGGUGGCUCUCAUGGUGAAGAGGUCUGUGCAUGCCUGUAUCCUCUGGGUACAUGGCAUCAGUCUGCCCACUCACUGAUUAAUUGGCUGGAGCCCAGACACAGCCCACCUGCACCAACACUGCCUCUUUGCAGCUCCAGUGCUGCCCAAACCACAGUCCUGUUCCCAUCCCUAGUCUGGAUCAUUCAAGGACUGGCAUCAGAGCCUGCCCUGGAGCACCUCAGCUCCCACUUAGCCCCCAGGGGCACUGAGAAGGACCUGCUGGGAGAAAGCUGGGCCCCAGACUCAGAAACCAGAAUCAGACAUUCAUAGAUACUUAAUCACAAAUAGAAUUGAUUGACAUUUCUUGAAUCAAAGCCAUCUUCCCCAGUAAUCCUAUCAGCCCCACUGCUGAAAUCCAGAACAGCAAAGGCUGGGAAGAGCUUCUGUACAGGCAGGGGUGGUUUUUCCUUCAUUAAUCACAACAUGGCAGGUGCAACCUCCUUCAGGGAAGGAUACGUCAGGGUGCAGUCACGGCUGCUGGGUCACAGGAUCUGGGUCUGACCCUCACCAUGCCCUGCUGCCUUCCCGCCUGUGAUGUCAGCCAGUCUGCCCUGGGUCUCACCUCAAGCCAGCCCGUGGACUUGCAAGGCUAAUUCCUGGGAAGAGAGGGCUUCUCCUGCACUCCUACCUUUUGCCUGGUCCUAAUUAGGUCACCAGAGGAAAAACUGGAGCACUGGAGGUCCGGAGAAGGUACUGUCAAACAAAGCUCUUCCUCAGCUGAGAGAAAACAAAGUGAGAAGCCCGAGGCUUGAAGACUAAGAGUACAACCACAGUGCAAUAACCCAGGGGAAGGAAGGCCUCUGACUGCUCUAUGUUGCCAGCUGUUCGUGCCCUUUAUCCAGUGCUUUACACAGGCUCCAACCUCCUGCAGAUAUGUGUGAUUGCAGUGUGCCUGUACAUCAAAGGAGGCAGAAGUUAGGCACUGUGAACCUGAACCUCAAUUUCGUGUUUCUCACGCAGUGGAGUUAUUAGCAUUUCACCAAAAUGAGAAAUGCAUGGGAAUAUCCCAUGACCGUUUGAGAAAGCAGGAUUCUAGCUGAGCUGCAGGAAUGACCUCCUUUAUGUUAUAAGGCUUUUGGCUUCCUGGGAGACGGGACACCAGGUGAGAAUGAGGGCACAUUUGAUCUGCUGGCCCUUUGGUAAUGGAUAUGUUGCGGUUUCGUCCUGUGCUGGUGCAGAAGCAGCAAACUGGGCUCCUGGUGGCCCACGCUAAUGCAGAAAAUAAUCGUAGGUAGCAUAUGGGAAUUUAGCCAGAGCAUCACUGCUCUUCCAAAAAUGUUAUGGGGCUCCUGGGAACCAGGACUGCAAAUCAUCUGCUGUUGUACAUGGCCAACACUCGCUUUCAAAGGAAGGGAUCCAGCUGCUGAAUCACCAUACAUCCCAGCAAUGCCAGGUAUUCCUUUCAAGGGCUUUACAUGAGAAAGAACAGAGCUAAUGACAUUUCAGCUCUGACCGAGCAAGACUUGUGCUUGAACUUGACCAUCACUGCAAAGAAUAGGGCCACAGCGAGGGGUAGAAAUCUCCCUGCAUAGUGUUCUUUGGAGAGAGGGACUAAAAGCUGAAAGUGUGAUACCAUCACAGAGAAGGGGGUGGGAUGGAUGCGGAUGUUGUCACAAACCAGAGAGGGGAAAGGUAGGAGAACCAGUCUGCACAAGUACACCUUCAAUCAUAUCACCACGAUGGCAUUUUAUCAGUGCUGAUUUAACAGCCCUCACCAGGGCUGCUCUGCCAGGACACGGGAACACAUUCGUGUUCAGGUGGAACAACAGGGACAUUUAAACCACACAGUCACCCACACAUUCUUCUGCUGGACAAUGGGAUUUUGUCGAGGUCUGCGGGAGAACGAAAUGCACUUUCCUAUUGCCAUCUAUCAUUCAGAACUCAAAAGCAAACUCUAGAGACCAACCUUGGCUUCGGGAUCUAAACUGGACUGAAGAUUCUUCAUGGACUGAAGCGGUGUCACACCAUGCUGAUGCUCUAUGGGUUCAGUUUGGGCUCAGCAGGGAGACAGACUUGCAGAAGGAAAAGGUGCGGAGCAGAGGUGACUUGAGAAGGGAGGAGAUGAAAAGAGGAGACAAGGUGACAAAUAUUAAAGAACCAGUUCAACAAUACUCUCCUUGGCUGAAGAGAAAGGGUGGAGGUACCUUAAGUGCUUGCAGACAUUUCCUGUACUAUGUCUGUCUGUUUGGGCACGGCACUCAAGUGUCACCAAACUCCAAAAAAUACCAACAAUCCAUACUCCAGCAGGAUGGAAACCAUGAUUUGAGAGGGUGAACUAAAGCCUAGUUGGAAAUGUUGGUCUUUCUCCUAGCUAUGGUCAUAAUUUGAACCAUGUUGGCCUUGAUUCUCCCUUUGCACAAUUUUUUUCUUUCUAAAAUAAAUAAACAAACAAACAAAUAAACAACAA